rnacentral:lncRNA from 1 species
CAGCAAUGCCCUGCUCCCAGCAGGAAAACCACUUGGGGUGCAGGUUUGUGAAAGAGGAGCAGGAUUAGGGCUGCAAGGGGGAAAUAGAGUCACCCUGCUCCUGGUCCUGCAGCGUGGAUGUGAGUCUGGGACUGACUGGACUUGGCUGAGCCUCCUGGAUGGGUGUUUGCAUAGACAAGACAUUUUGGGUAAACUUUUGCCCUCAAUAUUAUGACUGAUUUUCUCCUGGCCCUUCAUCCUGCAAAGACAAGAUUUUUCAUCCUGAUUCAGAAUGGGAGGAAUAAUCUCCAGGUGGGAAUUAUUCACAUGCCCUGGUUCAGGACCAGCUGCACCUCAGUCAAC